ACGCCUCCCCAACCCCUCCUCUCGUCCCCGGAGUCGCUCCUCGACCUUCACCGUCGCCAUAGCCGCCGCCUUGGGUCUCUCCCGAUUCCGGCGAUGCGGUGUUUCCCUCUCCGUUCUCUCACCACCACCGCAUCCCCCAUGCUCCAGUGAGCCUCCCCAUAGCCUUGGCCUUCCAUUUCCCUCACCAGAGCCCCGUGUCCACCCGAGCCCGUACCCCCUCUCCGCCACAGGCCCUGCUGCUCCUUCUCCCGCGGUCCUCACCAGCAACAGAGACCACCCCGAGAUGCGCCGCUCCGUCCUGCACAUUUCGGUAGGUCGCACGGCCCGAGAGCUGGCCGGAGUCGCCGUCGAGCGCCGUCGGGGCGAACGCCUCCCUCGGCCAUGCUCGCUCCUGCUCGGGAGGAAGAAGAGGGCGUUGACCUGGCCAGGUGGGCGCCGCGCCUUUUCCCCUGACCCCACAUAGCAGUGACCCAGGCGCCCGGCCCCGCUGCUGCCGUGUUGACCCGGUCCUACCAACGUGGAUAAGUGGCGGCGCCUCGGGCUGUUUUCCGUUUACGGAACACGAAGGCAUAUUUCCUGGAGUGCGCUUUCCCUUAGCCGAAAUCGUAUUCCUCCCCUUCUUCGGGCCAGAAUACGCUUUCCUUUCUGGAAAGCGUAUUUCUGAGAAAGACGCGAUCUAUUUUUCUGCUAGGGCCCCGUUUGUAAUGAUUUUCUUUACAGAUUGGUCCCUGGUAGUUAAACAAUCAUAUCUUUUUACCCGUAGCUCCAAAUCAGCCCCCUCCGAGAGAGAACUGUUUCUGGCAAAUCUUUCCGCGAUCGUUUCCCACUUCUUCCCGGGGUAUUUGUCGACCCCCAGGCAAGCCAACCUCUUAUCAUGAGCCCCAAACUUGCAUGUUGACUUUAAUUGCACCUUGUGUGUGUGUAGUUGAAGUUGUUUCAUAUCGUUUUCGUCUGCAGUUAUUUCUUUAUGCCUGUCUUGCAUGCUUGUGUUUUCAAGAUAUCGUCUGCCAUGCUAAUUAGAAUGUUGUUAUUGAUAAUGCCAUGUCACUACUCUACAUUAUUUGCAUGUCAUCUUUAUAACAUGUUAUGAUGAUUGAAAUGCUCCGUGAUAUGCUAGUACU